AUUUCUCAAAUUUGAAUUUCUUUUUUCCAGGUCGAAAAGUUGGG
rnacentral:antisense_RNA from 1 species